AUCCCAGCUCUACUAACGACAACCUUGAUUUUUUCUCAACUAAUUUGAUCUAUUUGGAUGUCAAAUCCUUGACAUACAUUCUCCUAAUCUUUGUACCAUAUAUUUGGACCUCUUAUCUUCCUUAAAAGAUUAUACAAACCUAAACUUCCUUCCUAACUCUAAUGAUAUUAACAUCAAUGCCAUCAUUAAUUGACAUGAAAGAGUCUUCUCUCCUUCACAUGCAAUAUCUUAGCCAUUCAUUCACCCUCUAGAUUGUCCAUCCUUAUAAGGAGGGGAAGUCCAAUCAAAUUUCUCCAUCCAGCUCCUUUCCUAAUCCUUAAAUCAAACUAUUCUUGCUAAUCCUAAUAUUUCUUUAUCUCUUCAAAUCUUAGCCUUUUAAAGAAAUAUAACCAAACAAAUAUACAAUCAUCUCUUCAUAACCCUUAGCCAAUAAAACUGCCAC
rnacentral:lncRNA from 1 species